UAACAAUAAUAACAAAGUAUGAAAAAUUUCUUACAUAAAUGAAGGAACACAAUAUUACAGGAUGUGACGCAAGUGUUUGAAAUGCGCGAAUACUAUCUUGUGGAAGUAGAUCUUCAGGGACCGAACGUCCACGACGUUUCCUUUCCUGAGUUGAGCAGCUGUACCUCCAGCUUCUACUGCAAGUGCCUGCAGGAUCAUGUUGUGGGAUAGUAGUAGCCUGAACAAUUCCAGCCUGAGGUUUCAACGUUGCUAAAGCUUCUCUGGCUGCUGUUACUUCUUUUGUCAAUCUAGCAAUUACACGGCAUGCUGCAUCAUGUUGAUAUAAAGAGUGAGAUAGUUCCUG